rnacentral:rRNA from 2 species
CCUACGGGAGGCAGCAGUGGGGAAUAUUGGACAAUGGGCGGAAGCCUGAUCCAGCAACGCCGCGUGAGGGAUGACGGCCUUCGGGUUGUAAACCUCUUUCAGCACAGACGAAGCGCAAGUGACGGUAUGUGCAGAAGAAGGACCGGCCAACUACGUGCCAGCAGCCGCGGUAAU